rnacentral:misc_RNA from 1 species
UUUAUAUGUCACAGGGG